rnacentral:rRNA from 1 species
UACGUAGGGUGCGAGCGUUGUCCGGAAUUAUUGGGCGUAAAGAGCUCGUAGGCGGUCUGUCGCGUCGCAUGUGAAAACUCGGGGCUCAACUCCGGGCUUGCAUUCGAUACGGGCAGGCUAGAGUUCGGUAGGGGAGUCUGGAAUUCCUGGUGUAGCGGUGAAAUGCGCAGAUAUCAGGAAGAACACCGGUGGCGAAGGCGGGACUCUGGGCCGAUACUGACGCUGAGGAGCGAAAGCGUGGGGAGCGAACAGG